rnacentral:sRNA from 1 species
ACUUCCUUUCUAGAGCCUGGCCUGCUGUGCUACUGACCUUUUAGCUUUGUGCAUCUUGAGGCCACCUGGAGAAUUUGGGGUAGACAUCGCCCUGGGCAGCUCCCAGAGAUUUGGAGUGCCACUGGGCUAUGGGGGACCCCACGCAGCAUUUUUUGCUGUCCGAGAAAGCUUGGUGAGAAUGAUGCCUGGAAGAAUGGUGGGGGUAACAAGAGACGCCACUGGGAAAGAAGUGUAUCGUCUUACUCUUCAAACCAGGGAGCAACACAUUCGGAGAGACAAGGCUACCAGCAACAUCUGUACAGCUCAGGCCCUCUUGGCGAAUAUGGCUGCCAUGUUUGCAAUCUACCAUGGUUCCCAUGGGCUGGAGCAUAUUGCUAGGAGGGUACAUAAUGCCACUUUGAUUUUGUCAGAAGGUCUCAAGCGAGCAGGGCAUCAACUCCAGCAUGACCUGUUCUUUGAUACCUUGAAGAUUCAGUGUGGCUGCUCAGUGAAGGAGGUCUUGGGCAGGGCCGCUCAGCGGCAGAUCAAUUUUCGGCUUUUUGAGGAUGGCACA